ACUCCUACGGGAGGCAGCAGUGGGGAAUAUUGCGCAAUGGACGAAAGUCUGACGCAGCGACGCCGCGUGGAGGAUGAAGGUUUUCGGAUCGUAAACUCCUGUCAAGAGGGAAGAAACCUAUUAUGAAUAAUACUCAUAGUAAUUGACGGUACCUCUAGAGGAAGCACCGGCUAAUUCAGUGCCAGCAGCCGCGGUAAUACUGAAGGUGCAAGCGUUAAUCGGAAUCACUGGGGCGUAAAGCGCUCGUAGGUGGCUUUGUAAGUCAGGUGUGAAAGCCCACGGCUCAACCGUGGAAUUGCACUUGAUACUGCAUCGCUAGAGUAUAGGAGAGGGAAGUGGAAUUUCUGGUGUAGGAGUGAAAUCCGUAGAGAUCAGAAGGAACACCCGUGGCGAAGGCGACUUCCUGGACUAUUACUGACACUGAGGAGCGAAAGCGUGGGGAGCAAACAGGAUUAGAUACCCUGGUAGACUGUCA
rnacentral:rRNA from 1 species